ACAAUGCGUGAAAUGUCUACAUGUAGUGUUAAAGGGGUCGCUUAUAGUGAUGAACCCACUAACAAAAUCAGUUAUUGCAGGUUUAAGGAUGGUGGAGGGAAAAAUCUUAGAGAAAGAUUUUUCAAACCCUGGACAUAUAAAACCAAAACUAUCAGACACUGUCUCAGACUCCACUUGAGGUCAGUCAGACAUGUGGAAACCUGAUGAAAAGGGUUUUUGGCACAUAUGCACAGUGAAGAAAUUUCAUUGAGAUGACUGAGGCGCCACCCUGGAAUAAGAGUUUUUAUCUGGUGCCCGUGGUGUCAUUCUAGCGCUGGCACAUAGGUAAUGAUCCGCUUCAUGUCAACCAGCAAUGACUGGUUUGUCAAAGCUGAAGAGGGAGCAACCCAGAGAGUUCCAUGAUCUGCCAUUGCUGUAAAAAAAAAAAAAAGGUCCAUUGGAGAGAAUGUUUAUAAUUGAAAAUUGUUUUUUUUCUAUUAUGAUUGUAUAGUUUGCAUUAAUAUGCUUUGGCAACAUAGUAUU